rnacentral:rRNA from 1 species
CACGUAGGGACCAAGCGUUGUCCGGAUUCAUUGGGCGUAAAGAGCUCGUAGGCGGUUCGAUAAGUCGGGUGUGAAACCUCCAGGCUCAACCUGGAGACGCCACCCGAUACUGUCGUGACUAGAGUCCAGUAGGGGAGCGUGGAAUUCCUGGUGUAGCGGUGAAAUGCGUAGAUAUCUGGAGGAAUACCGGUGGCGAAGGCGGCAUCCUGGACCGGCAUUGACGCUGAGGAGCGAAAGCGUGGGGAGCAAACAGG